rnacentral:rRNA from 1 species
AGUGAACGCUGGCGGUAGGCCUAACACAUGCAAGUCGAACGGCAGCACAGUAAGAGCUUGCUCUUACGGGUGGCGAGUGGCGGACGGGUGAGGCAUACAUCGGAAUCUACUUUUUCGUGGGGGAUAACGUAGGGACACUUACGCUAAUACCGCAUACGACCUACGGGUGAAAGCAGGGGAUCUUCGGACCUUUCGCGAUUGAAUGAGCCGAUGUCGGAUUAGCUAGUUGGCGGGGUAAAGGCCCACCAAGGCGACGAUCCGUAGCUGGUCUGAGCGGAUGAUCAGCCACACUGGAACUGAGACACGGUCCAGACUCCUACGGGAGGCAGCAGUAGGGAAUAUUGGACAAUGGGCGCAAGCCUGAUCCAGCCAUACCGCGUGGGUGAAGAAGGCCUUCGGGUUGUAAAGCCCUUUUGUUGGGAAAGAAAAGCAGCAGGUUAAUACCCCGCUGUUCUGACGGUACCCAAAGAAUAAGCACCGGCUAACUUCGUG